rnacentral:rRNA from 1 species
UACGAAGGGGACUAGCGUUGUUCGGAAUUACUGGGCGUAAAGCGCGCGUAGGCGGAUCGCUAAGUCAGGGGUGAAAUCCCAGGGCUCAACCCUGGAACUGCCUUUGAUACUGACGAUCUGGAGAUCGGGAGAGGUUGGUGGAAUUCCGAGUGUAGAGGUGAAAUUCGUAGAUAUUCGGAGGAACACCAGAAGCGAAGGCGGCCAACUGGCCCGAUACUGACGCUGAGGCGCGAAAGCGUGGGGAGCAAACGGG